rnacentral:rRNA from 1 species
UGGAAGUAAAAAGUCGUAACAAGGUCUCCGUUGGUGAACCAGCGGAGGGAUCAUUACUGAGUUACCGCUCUAUAACCCUUUGUGAACAUACCUAUAACCGUUGCUUCGGCGGGCGGCGCGGCCACUGCGGCCCGCCCCCCGGCCCCGCUCGUCGGGGCGCCCGCCGGAGGAUAACCAAACUCUGAUUUAACGACGUCUCUUCUGAGUGGCACAAGCAAAUAAUCAAAACUUUUAACAACGGAUCUCUUGGUUCUGGCAUCGAUGAAGAACGCAGCGAAAUGCGAUAAGUAAUGUGAAUUGCAGAAUUCAGUGAAUCAUCGAAUCUUUGAACGCACAUUGCGCCCGCCAGCAUUCUGGCGGGCAUGCCUGUUCGAGCGUCAUUUCAACCCUCAAGCCCUGCUUGGUGUUGGGGCCCUACGGUUGACGUAGGCCCUCAAAGGUAGUGGCGGACCCUCUCGGAGCCUCCUUUGCGUAGUAACUUUUGUCUCGCACUGGGAUCCGGAGGGGCUUCCGGCCGUAAAACCCCCCAAUUUUUUCCAAAGGUUGACC